rnacentral:rRNA from 1 species
GAAAUGCGAUAAGUAAUGUGAAUUGCAGAAUUCAGUGAAUCAUCGAAUCUUUGAACGCAUCUUGCGCUCCUUGGUAUUCCGAGGAGCAUGCCUGUUUGAGUGUCAUUUCAUGUUCUCUCAACCUCAUCUUUUGAUGUGGCUUGGAUGGUGGGGGGUGUGUGCAGGCUUGCCUCGAGCAGGGUCUGCUCCCCUGAAAUGCAUUAGCGGUAUCAUCUUUGUACUGCAGGUGUGAUAAAUUAUCUAUGCCUCUGGUAAUGAUUGUGCUGCCUUAGUGUUGUUGUUCUUUGAAAAAAUUGACCUCAAAUCAGGUAGGAAUACCCGCUGAACUUAAGCAUAUCAAUAAGCGGAGGAAAAGAAACUAACAAGGAUUCCCCUAGU